rnacentral:rRNA from 1 species
UACGGAGGGUGCGAGCGUUGUCCGGAAUCACUGGGCGUAAAGGGCGCGUAGGCGGCCUGAUAAGUAGGGGGUGAAAUCCUGCGGCUUAACCGCAGGGCUGCCUUCUAAACUGUCAGGCUUGAGCACAGUAGAGGCAGGUGGAAUUCCCGGUGUAGCGGUGGAAUGCGUAGAGAUCGGGAAGAACAUCAGUGGCGAAGGCGGCCUGCUGGGCUGUUGCUGACGCUGAGGCGCGGACAGCGUGGGGAGCAACAGG